CUCAAGACUGUCAUUAUUGUCUGCAAAAACCAUCUUGGAUACGAACUGUUAAAAAGUUUUGAUUAAUUGUGAAAAGAAAAAACAUAGAUUAAGUUUAUGUUAAACAUAUGACUGGGAAAUCAUUUUAGGUUUUUACGUGCCUAAGCAUGUCGGAUAAUAUUUACAUGCCCUGCUUGAAAAUUAGGAACCAAGCUCUAUUUGCUACUGGAGUGGAUAGGAAAAUAUUAGAGCAAGGAUAAGGAGGAAAAG